CGCGACUGUUCGUGGUCAUGCAAGACCAGAACCAACCAAGCGUUCCAAAAAAUCUCUUACCACAGAAGCAUUAUUCCCAGGCGGUAGAUUUCUAGACCGCGUCCCUUGAAGCACGAACUAACCAAACCAAGCUACAAGUGUGGAGUGCUCCAGAUGCAGGAUCCGAAACAGCCUGUGAAAAUCUGAACGAGUACUAUACUACAAGCAGAAAAAUUUAUGCAUAUAUUCGUUUUA